AUUGGAGGAGCUGCUCCCUUCCCCGUUCAGCUGUAAUUGUCUGAAUAUUUAUUUCUCGGCAUUCACUGCAGAACAAGCUGCAAGUGGUGACUCGGACGUGAUCAAGUGGUGACUCGGACAUGAUCAAGUGGUGACUCCGACGUGAUUGCCUUGAAGUUAUGCAUGGAGUAGGAUGACUCACCAAUCUUCGGGGAAUACCGGACUAGAGUGGAUCCCCAUAAAAUGAGUGAAGCCAUAAUAUGAGUUAGAGACUACUGAAAAAGCCCCUCCUGAUGAUGAAGGACCUGUCAUUGGAGAAUCGACCAAAACUGACAGUGAUAACUUGGAAGGCACCUGACAUUACCUGGGGACAGCUAAAGAAACUGGACCAACAGGGAACUAUCUGGCUUGCAUCUAUGGGAGCCCCUGAAACUGCAGAGAACCAGUUUCUUAUGUAUCUGAUGGUAAUUGGGGGAGCUUCUGAGAAGGCUUUCCAGAAACGGUUUCCUUUGGAAUGCAGCUUUCCAAAUCACUUUAAAGACUGGCUUUCUUCUUGACGUUGGACCUCUCAUCCAGGUCAUCUGUUGUAUUCACUCUCACCUACCUGGGGGUUCAUCCACCAUCUCAUCUCGCUUCAUAUUCCAGGGCUCUUUUUCUUUCUCCAGACAGAUGAUGAGGUCUGGCUUAGAGACAGCAAUACCUGUUUUAUUAAAAAUAAUUAACAUGAAUCUUGCUCAUAUUCUCCAAUUACCAACUUAGUAAUGUGCAAAGUAAAAGGGAUAUAAUAGAAUAUUCUAAUAAAUUUAUCCCAUAUACUAAUUUAUAACAGAAAUUUUUAAAUAUUUACAGAAUAUUUUAAUUUUGUAGGUUCUUAAUUUCACUGCCUGGUACUACUGAAGCAAAAAUUGGUAAUGGCACUUGGAUUUUAAGGUGUGAAUAACAAUAUUUUAUGCCACUAAGGUUCUGAAAUUACCACUAAUCUAAAGCGAAAGACACAGAUCAGCUCAGGAAUGUGGAAAUUUCAGGUCAGGAUGAAACAUCUUGAAGAAAUUUUUUCUAAACAGACAAAUCCCCAGGAUUUUCUUGAAAACAGAAAUAGGAAAGCAUAAAUUACCAGAAAACAUACUACAAAAGAAAAAUAAAAGCUUUAGUUUAUAUUAAAAAUUUUGUAUUAAAGUUAUCCUCACCCAGGAAGGCCAGGUUUCUGUAGUUCUCUAACAUCACAUUCCUAUAUAAAUUCUUCUGUGCAGUGUCCAGGCACUGCCACUCCUCCAGAGAGAAUUCUAUGGCCACAUCCCUAAAUGUCAACAGUCCCUGGAAAAUACACACAAACACACAUAUUUACAAAGUGGCUAUGGGCAGAAUUUUUCAUUUGACUCAAGGUAAAAUCAGAAAGUGAAUAGAAUUGAUUCUAACUUAUAAGAGGGACUGAAAUUAUCCAAUAAAAUAAUUGUCAAAACACAAACAUUUUCUAAUGUAUUCUCUAACUCUGAGAAAAGAGACUGGCAUAAUAUCCAGAACAUCAGUGUAUAUAUGAUACUUUUCUGAAUGAUAAAGUGUAAAAAUGUACUAACAUGUACAUUUUUGAGUACAGUAUUUACAUAAU
rnacentral:lncRNA from 1 species